GACGAACGCUGGCGGCAUGCCUAAUACAUGCAAGUCGACCUUAGUGGCGAACGGGUGAGUAACACGUGGGUAACCUGCCCAUAAGAAGGGGAUAACACUUGGCAACAGGUGCUAAUACCGUAUACGGGUGGAUGGACCCGCGGGGCAUGAGCUAGUUGUUGAGGUAACGGCUCACCAAGGCCACGAGGCAUAGCCGACCUGAGAGGAUGACCAGUCACACUGGAACUGAGACACGGUCCAGACUCCUACGGGAGGCAGCAGUGGGGAAUAUUGGACAAUGGGCGCAAGCCUGAUCCAGCCAUGCCGCGUGUGUGAAGAAGGUCUUCGGAUUUUAAAGCACUUUAAGUUGGGAGGCGUUACCCACAGAAUAAGCACCGGCUAACUUCGUGCCAGCAGCCGCGGUAAUUC
rnacentral:rRNA from 1 species